rnacentral:rRNA from 1 species
GACGAACGCUGGCGGCGUGCUUAACACAUGCAAGUCGAACGGUAAGGCCCUUCGGGGUACACGAGUGGCGAACGGGUGAGUAACACGUGGGUAAUCUGCCCUGCACAUCGGGAUAAGCCUGGGAAACUGGGUCUAAUACCGAAUAGGACCACAGGACACAUGUCCUGUGGUGGAAAGCUUUUGCGGUGUGGGAUGGGCCCGCGGCCUAUCAGCUUGUUGGUGGGGUGAUGGCCUACCAAGGCGACGACGGGUAGCCGGCCUGAGAGGGUGUCCGGCCACACUGGGACUGAGAUGCGGCCCAGACUCCUACGGGAGGCAGCAGUGGGGAAUAUUGCACAAUGGGCGAAAGCCUGAUGCAGCGACGCCGCGUGGGGGAUGACGGCCUUCGGGUUGUAAACCUCUUUCACCAUCGACGAAGGUCCGGGUUUUCUCGGGCUGACGGUAGGUGGAGAAGAAGCACCGGCCAACUACGUG